rnacentral:rRNA from 1 species
AUUGAACGCUGGCGGCAUGCUUUACACAUGCAAGUCGAACGGCAACACGCCGCGAGCUUCUGCCGAGUGGCGACCAGUUGCGUAAUGCAUCGGAACGCGCCCAGACGUGGUGUUUAACUACUCGUAAGGGUAGGUAAUACACCCUACUACCUCAUACUGCAUACGGGUGACCGCAAGGCCUCGUGCGAUUUUACCCGCCGAAGUCAGAUUAGGUAGUUGUUGGGGUAAAGGCGCACCAAGGCAACGAUCUGUAGCUGGUCUGAGAGGAUGACCAGCCACACUGGAACUGAGACACGGCCCAGACUCCUACGGGAGGCAGCAGUGGGGAAUAUUGGACAAUGGGCGCAAGCCUGAUCCAGCAAUGCCGCGUGCAGGAAGAAGGCCUUCGGGUUGUAAAGUGCUUUUGUACGGAAAGAAACGGCUCUGGUUAAUACCCGGGGCUAAUGACGGUACCGAAAGAAUAAGCACCGGCUAACUACGUG